rnacentral:rRNA from 1 species
UACGUAGGGUGCAGGCGUUAAUCGGAAUUACUGGGCGUAAAGCGUGCGCAGGCGGUUUGCUAAGACAGGUGUGAAAUCCCCGGGCUUAACCUGGGAACUGCGCUUGUAACUGGCAAGCUAGAGUGUGGCAGAGGGGGGUGGAAUUCCACGUGUAGCAGUGAAAUGCGUAGAGAUCCGGAAGAACACCGGUGGCGAAGGCGGCCCGCUGGGCAGUGACUGACGCUGAGGCGCGACAGCGUGGGGAGCAAACAGG